GGAAAUAACAGCUGAAAGUGUAAAAUGUGAUAAAUAAAUAAAAGAAAAGAAAAGUUCAGUGCUUGUGGGUAUGGUGUGUGUGGCGAGAAAGAGAGGGAGAAGGAAAACCCUUCACCUUCAACUCAUCGCAAGAAAUUCAGCAAUUAAGUGUGUAUUAGAGCAAGAAUUGAAUGCAUGAGUCUAAUUCCUCUAUAAUCUAAGUGCAUUGAAUAUAAGGAUUGAAAGAAAGAGGAGCAAGUUCCGGAAAACAACAAAAGGCUCAAGAACGAGAUAAGUUUGUUUACUUCCUUGCUAUUAAUGUUUAGUAGCCGUUGAACUUAUUUCAUGAAUAUGUGAAGGAUUGUAGUUGUAUAUUUCGUUGAUUAUUAGUCGAUUAUUAAUGGAAGAACAAGUUCGCAUAAUAGAAUGUAAAAAGUAAUGAUUGUGUUGAUUCGUUAUGAACAGGUCAACCGGGUUAGAAUGAGAAAGUAAAAAGUAAAGUUUCAUAUUGAUUCUUAUGAACGGGUCAACCGGAUAAGAAUGUAAAAAGUAAGAAAAUUGUGUUGAUUCGUCAUGAACGGGUCAACCGGGUUAGAAUGUGAAAGUGAAAAGUAAGGUUUCGUGAUGAUCCGUUGUGAACGGGUUGUCCGAACUAGAAUGAGAAUGUAGAAGAAUGAUUCCAUAUCGAUCCGUUGUGAACGGGCCGGCCGGUAGAAUGAGAAUGAGAAAGGAAUGAUUGGUCUUAUGUUGAUCCGUUAGAAACGGGUCAACAAGUUCAUCAUGUAUUUAAUCGAUCAAGAACUAAGGCUAAGAAUGAAAUAUUGAGUUGAAUAUUAUGUUGCUAAAAGUUAGUAUUACAUAUUGUAUAGAAUUGUUAACAAUUCUUGUUGUGUUGUUAGGUAAAGCUCCUACUUAGAUGGCCACGCCUUGCUCGGAAUGAACAUUAUUCGCAACGCCUUCAACACGCUUCCGAACUAGUGUAUGUAAAUGGGUUAAAAUGUUUUGGUUAUGAUGUAGACUAUGUUUAGUUGUUUAAAAAGUUUCUCUAAAGACUUACUACUUGAUUCAUUAAAACUAUUAAACAUAUCAUAAUAAGUUUAUAAGACAUUAUUUUAAAGACUAUCAAUACAUCAAGUUUGACAUUGUGGGUUUACAUGACUAAAUCUAGUAGUUGAAAAUUGUUGCGGGUUCGGUUAAUGAUUUGAAAUUUGAAAUCGACCGAAUAAAUCUGGUAGUUUAUUAGAAAAAUAAAAUGGUUGAAAUAAUCCAACACUGGAAAUUGGAAAAUAGUCAAAUACAAAUCUGGUUUAUUGUCUUCAUAGUUAUGGAUUAAAAUUACAAAAUCAAAAUAAUUCAAAAAGAAAUAAUCUUAUAACAAAAUAAGCCAUUUUUGAAAGGUUCGCUUUCGUUGACUAAUCACUUUCGUUGACUAUGAAUAGUUAAGUCAAAGUCUCGAUGAAUAAAAGUCAACAAUAAGCAAAUAAUAGCAUACCCCCUUCAUCAUUUUCUGCUUCAUUUUCCAACCACAAAUAUGUUUCUUAAUUUCGUUCAUCUGCAUUCUCUGCUCUUCAUUUCAAUCACAAUUUUUUUAUUAACGAUUUCUUCCCGCCCUAUCAUCACUGAUAAAGAACUCAACAUUAUCUCCAUCCCAUUCGCGAAAAAUGUGACCUUAAUGAGCUCCGAUGGCUAUAAAUUCGAGGUGCGGUUACAGGUUGCGCUGCAAUCUGAGAUGAUGAUGCAAAUGAUCAUCGACGGAGGCUUGUCCGAUGAGAUGGUACUCUCUUUUCCUAAUAUAACCGGUGAGACCAUGUCUAAGGUGUUGGAGAAUUGUAACAAACACCUGUAUCACGAAAGUGCCCGAAAUAACAUCACCACUGUCGAUGAGAUGAGAGCGUUUGAUGCACAAUUUGUCGAUGUCCAUUAUGAGACGCUCUUCAAUCUGUUUCGGGUUUGUUUUACUGUCUUUUUAUCAUUUUCCCGCAAUCCACUCAAAUUGGACCAACAAAGAUUUAAGGGUAGCAAGAUAUGACUACAGCAUACAUAAUAAUUAUUAUAUUUGUAAACAUUUUUUGAUAUUUGUCUACGGUUUAUAGUUAUAAGAUUUCAAAGAUAAAGUUACUUGAUUGACUUUUUUCUUUUGUUUUAUCUUUAACUAGCCUAAGACCCCGCGAGCUUCGCGGGUGGCUAAACACUAACUAAACACAUAAAAUAAUUUAAACAUAAAAGCGUUAAAGUGUGAUUUGUUAAGCCUAAUAUUUUAAGAGAUUUGAGCACGUUCCAAUAGUACAUCUACAUGAUGUUCGUUACACAUUAAGUUUUUGUAUAUAAAACCUUCAUUAUGAUGUUUUCAUGCCUUUUGUCAAAAUGACUUGCACCGGCAGUGUGAACAUAAAAAAAUACAUUAAGAAAUGAAGGUAGAGUAAUACAUAAUACAAACAAAUUCAUCUACGUAAAGGUACUAACGAACAUUGUGUCACAAAAGUUGUAAACGAAAUGCGUUAAUGCUAUGAAUGAUAUGAUUAAUAUUUAGUAGAAACAAAUUACAUUAGUUGAUGCUCAGACGCUCGACAGAUUACAAAUAGCACUUCAUUAAAAAACCAUUACCUGUUUUUUGAGGAGUCCGCAAUAACCCCCAAAACGGAACAAAGUGAUCACUUCCCUCUCUAAAAAAACAUGUUACAUACCAGCGAAUCUUUAAUAGAUCAACAAAAGGUCAUGGUUUUCAUCUUUUGACUGGCAUCAAGUUUAUAUAAAUUUCAAUAUCUAAAUUCUUAUUUAAAUUCAUAUUAAUAUAACCAUGGAUGCAACCCAAACAGGCACAACACCAUAGUCCAAACUAUGCCAGGGAGCUAAGAAAUAUUUAAAUAUUAAAAAAGAAAGAAAUUAAAACCAAUAUAAUAACAGAAGUAAGCAUUGAGCCUCAAAUAGCACACCAAGUACCUAAAUUUAUAACCAAUAUAGUAAUAACUAUCUGUAAACCUUAAAAUUAAGUUAAAACGAUGUAGUAGAAACAGAAGUAAGUAUCAAACAAUGACUAAAGAAGCAUAUAAUCGGAUGCAUCAGAGAAUGUUUGGAAGUCAUACAUAUCUUUUAGUAUACAAAAAUGCUAAUAAAAAAGAAAGUUAUAGAAGUUGUACCACUCCAACAAAAAUUAAAAAUGCAUAGAUGUAACCAAUCUGAGCUGGACCACCUUCUUGCAUAGCCUAAAAAGUAUAAUCAAUUAGAACAGAAAUUUAGGGAGCUAGUUACAUAUAAGAAAUGAAACUACAGAAACUAAUAAUUCAGAUACAGAGAUUAAAAAUAUAAGUUAUCUAACUCACCAAUAACAAUUGGUUCAGAAUCAGUGGCCCAACAAAUUGAGCAAGAUCAUUGCCGAUCUACAAAUGAGCAAAGGAAGAACAAUAUUAUUACCUUUAUCUUAUCUAAUGUUCAUUGCUAGGUUCAGUAAUAAGGAAUUCAUAUAUGAUAUAUUGAGUUUCAAAAAUGUCCAUAUAUUACAAAGUGAGUAACUCAUCAAAAAGUCAAAAUUCAUGAUAUAUUCAUUAUACUUUUUCAAAACUAUGCAAAAAUCAAUGAACUCAGAACUGAAGUAUUCAUAGGGUACCUUCCAAAAGCCUCCCACCAAAACCUUUAAUCAAACAAACAUGACAUAUUUAGACUUUCUCAUUCUUAGUGAAAAUAUUUGUAACGGCCAACAAAGCUUUGUAACAUAAAGUCUUUAGACAAACCUUCCUCCAAGACUAUGAUAUAAGACCCUUAAAAGCCAUGGUUUAGGUUUAGGGACCUCGUUUGCCCAACAUGAUUGAAAUCUAAAGUGCAAAAAUAUAAAUUUAUCAUUAAGAAGAAAAUAGCCCAGGUGCUUAUUUUCCAUAUAUCCUUUGACAACUUCUUUAAUAAGACCACAUGGAAAAUCCAUGAUCCAUAAAGUAUACAAACUGCAUGAAAACAUAAAAAGUUGAAGAUGAAAUUCUUAAUAUGGAACUUCAUGAAAACAUAAAAAGUUAAAAGAUGAAAUUUAUAUAAACAUUCAAAUCCAAAUUCAGAGAUGGAUAGACAACGAAGUUUAUAAAAGCGACACAUGCUUUACUUGUGGUUGAGGACAAAGAGGU